CCUACGGGUGGCAGCAGUAGGGAAUUUUCGGCAAUGGGGGGAACCCUGACCGAGCAACGCCGCGUGAACGAAGAAGUAUUUCGGUAUGUAAAGUUCUUUUAUUGGAGAAGAAAGAGACAUUUGACGGUAACCAAUGAAUAAGCUUCGGCUAACUACGUGCCAGCAGCCGCGGUAAUACGUAGGGAGCGAGCGUUAUCCGGAAUUAUUGGGCGUAAAGGGUGCGUAGAUGGUUGAUAGAAGUCGUUGGGAAAAAUGCUAGCCUCAACCUAGUAGUGCAAAAGAUACUGAUGAGCUAGAGUACGGCAGAGGCAAGUAGAACUACAUGUGUAGCGGUAAAAUGCGUAGAGAUGUGGAAGAACACCGGUGGCGAAGGCGGCUUGCUGGACCUGUACUGACAUUGAGGCGCGAAAGCGUGGGGAGCAAACAGGAUUAGAUACCCCAGUAGUC
rnacentral:rRNA from 1 species